rnacentral:lncRNA from 1 species
UUUUUUUUUUGAAACUCACGCUACCUGGGACACUCACUCUCUCUGGUCGGGCACGGGCCGUGUUUCUUUCCCUUGUUCUUGUUUUUCUUCUCCGUGUGACUCAGCCCAGUUGGAUUUUGCUUGGGGCAUCCUUUUCUUUCCUCUCCUUCCGGCCCCGUUUCCCUCUCUACUCGCUGCUGGGCCAUGCUGCAAGCUGGCGGCCGGCCGAAUAAUGACGCGCAGCAGCUCCUGUGCAAGUGCAAGUCUUGCAAUUUGCAAACCCUGAUUUCGUGGUAUUUGGAGAGAAGUAACUUUUUGUUGAAAGACCGGAGAGCAGUAACUUUACAAUGAUCUUGCAUGAACUGCAAAGACAGUAAUCUAAGUCCCGCAGAAACAUCAUUAUCAGGUAAUGAUUUCAAAGAGCAACGGCUGUAAGGAAAGGAGCCAUGAAUUACACAUAGGGAGCAGCCAAACAGAAUCGACAUCUUGACAUAUCUUUACAUUAGCAUCAUAUUAAGUCUGAUUAUAGAUGGCCACCAAAAUUUCAUUGCUUAAAUGUGAAUUAAGUAAAAUCCAAAGCUUUUUAUCUAUCACACAUACAGACACUAAAACUUUGACAUAUUAGAUCGGGGUAACCUCAACAAAAACGAGACUCCUCAUCUGGCCCUUCAUGGUAAGAAACAUGAUCCCAAUAUGGUAUAGUUUGUAAUUUGGAUGAUUGAUGAGUGACAACAUACUUGUUGGGACUAAAGGUUUGUCUAGUAUUUGCCUUGUAGGUUUUAUAGGUUCCAAUUAUGCAAGCCAAACUAUUAGUCUAUGAUAUUCUAGUGACAGUAUCCAAAGUAUCACAGUAUUCAAGUAUUCAAAUCAGAAAAACACGUAGCACCGGAGAAUCCGACGGUGCAUCCGAGCAAUUGGUACAACAGGAAAAAACCUCAUGUGCACUGGAUGAUUUGAUGGGGUGGUUUAUGCAAGCGUCGGAGCAAUGCACCGUGAAGAUAGAGGAAAUCUAGUAGCACAAGAUAAUCCGACGCAUAGUGCAUAUGACCAUGAGACUAAGCAUAUUUACGGUGAGACUAAGCAUAUUUACGUCAGAGACUUCUAGAGAGUUUGCAAGGAAAUCAUAGUAGCACCGGAUGAUCUGAUGCUAUGAUUGAGGGAUGUCGGACUAAGCAUCAGAUGAAUUUUGUAAGAUGAGUUGGCUCAGUUUGAAGAAAAAGAGGGGCGUCAGAUGUUUCGACAGGGCGUUAGACAAUGCACCGGAGUAAUUGGGCUGAGGGGGAUCCAAUAGUUAUAUGCGUCAGCAGGGGGUACCGGAUGAUCUGAUGUCUAGCCCAUAUGACCAUCGAAUCAUCUGGUUCUCAUAAUUUCAGCUAGUUGUUGGAUCAACGGCUCCUUUGAUGUAUUCGGCUAUUUAUACCCCUCUACUUACCGGUUUGAAGUGCUGGUGUCUGCACAAAUCCGUUGAAGAACAAAACUUAUCAAGAACACAUUUAUACCAUCAAAAGUGGAAAAGUGAUAAUCCAAGGCUUAGCAUAAGCUUAGAAAAGUGAUCUGUGUGCUAAUAUAGGCCUAGAGUGAGUGAGUGGUGUUGCUACCUUGUGAUCAGUUCCAGGAGUGAACCACCAAUGUAAACUUGGUACAUUGGCACCCUUGUGGCCUUAGUGUCUCACCACCAGCAGCAAGUUUUUGACCCUCCGAUUUGAUGUGGAGUGGCAACGACGAUUUUGUUCGACUCGUUGUGAUGUUGCCACAUGUUUUCAUAACGAAAGGGUCUCACCCAAUGCCCGUGUUCUGCGCCUGUUCAUCACCGUCCUUUCACGGAUCUCCACAAUCAAGUUACAAUGACCUAACUCCAACAAUGGGACGUACACGUAUACCUUUGUGUCUCCCAGCAAAUUCAUGAACCUAUUGUCACCGAGAGUCCAGUCAAUGCGAACUUUAACAUUACGACCACCUUUCGGUCUAUUGUUCCAUGUAUAUGGUACUCCUUCCGUCCUAUAUUAAGUGCAUUUCUAGAGUUCAACGUGAAAACCAAGGCUGUUGUUAAAAUGACGCUGCUGCUCCUACAAGAAAUUCGCUAACCGCACCGUCCUGUGCUGCAGCUCCAUGCGGAGGCGGAAGGAUUUCUAGAAGCAUCACCCAUUUUUUUUUAACACAGGUUGACGAUGGAUGAGGGUUCGAGAAGCGUUAGAGUCCGGAUGGAGGUUACACAAGUCGAUCUUUUUUCCUGUGAGCCGGUCCAAGUAGCCUAGUACUUGGUUCACAUAUGUAAAUAUUUUGGUAAAUAUUUUAGGACAAAUUUUAAAUUGUAGAGGUACAAAUAUUUUGGGAUGGAUGGAGUAGGUUAUUAAGCAAAGAUCAAUCAGCCCACACUCCACCAACACAUCCUGAAAUCCGGCCAUCUGCCAGGCUUUCCUACCAUUGGCACCAAUGUGUUCCUUCCCUGCCAGCACCUCGUUGAAAUCCCCUAUGCACAAUCAAGGUGAAUCUGAUUGCGCAACAUCUCGAGUAGUCUCCUUUUUCUCAAUCCAACUAUCAUAUUAGGAGAAUUGAUAAGAAAAUCGUGCUCCAACAGUCUCCCUUUAACUUUUCUUUUUUCCAAUAAUGAUUCGAACAACCCAAUAAUUCACCACAGCUCUUCUAAAUAAAGGAUGAGUUGUGAUUCUCCCAGUACAAUAAUUAGAUUGGGAUGAGAUUAUUAGAAAAUUGCAAAAGCAACUAUCCCAAUAACCGUGAGAGCGAUAUUAGGAUAUCCUUAACUAGUUAUUGAAAAAUAUUUAUCGAAAAGCUGUUGAAGAUGCUAUAGUACCAGCUCUUCUUGCAUAGCUCCUGACGCGGUUCACCAUAAUGGUAAGGGUAGAAAAGCCAUGUAACACAAUGCCAACCACACCCAUCUGCAAACUCUGUUGUGGCCGCAAGAACGUGAAACAACGAGGCAGCCCACCUCAAUCGCUAACCGCACGCUUGGCGACGCUGCUGCCGGGGCCUGGCAGGGAACUGUGUUUAGCCAGAAACAAUUUGGUAUGGUUCAGGUCUCAGGAGUCAGCAAAGUGUAGUAGUAACCAAACACGAGAGAGAGGCACCUCCACGUUCCACCUUCCUCCUUGACCGAACGAACGGCGCCACCAAACACCGUGGACACGCGACGGAAUUUUCUAAUUUUGUUUGCUCCGGGUGCUUGGCUUUUGACUUGGCUGGGCUAGUGGGCGGCUCAACAACCAUGCCCUUCUUUUCUUUUCUUGUUCUUUUUUUUUGUUAAUAAGGAAGUAACAGUAUUCUAAUGAACUUAUCAGUAGUGUCUUAACAGCUAGUUGGAAUUCCUUUUCUUUUAGUUGAGCUAGUUGGAAUUUUUUUUAAAAUAAUGCUAGUUCGAAUUCUAGUACUGCACCGGUAUUAUAUAGUACACGGCUGCUGCGCAUGUUGAGGCCGCAUCGGUCUGGGCUACCCGAUGUCUCGCCGUUGACCAUAGAGUGUAGCAGCAUCGCUGUUUCGCGGGCCGCUACCAAAUGAAACAUCCUGUCAGGGCUUUGUUGGGGCGCACCAGCGCCACUACAGUUAGUAGCCAAUCACCUACCGAACUAAGCUGGCCUCCUUGGCGUGUUGUGUGAGAAUAAUAAUGCAUUGGUGUUUCAUAAAAAAAAAAUAAUAAUGCAUUGGUGAGGGUGUGAAACCAUAUUAUAGGGAUUAGGGAGGGAGGUGCAUGUACUCUUGGAAAGUCCAUCCUUGAUCUAAGCCUUGCUGGCACUGACCUUUGAGCAAUCUAUAAGCGAAACCAACACUGCCCUACUGGUUUCGACCUUCGGGCAAGACAAAAACACCACCAACGAUAUUACCGACGAUGCAUCUUCACUCCUGUGCCCUCUCCCACCAGCAAAAGCGGAUACAGAAGUCCAAGUGCGGCCAAACGUUACUUCCAUGACAAUCGCCAAUUUUGACAUUCUGUGUUGGAAGUGAGAGGCCUCAACACAGCGGCACGAUGCCUCACGGUGCACGAGACUCUUAAGACAACUACCUGCCACAUUGCAUGCCUCCAAGAAACUAAAUUACAAGCGAUAGACGCCCCGCUGGCUCUCUUUUUGGGUGGAUCCCACCUCAACAGCUAUGCCUACAAGCCGGCGUCAGGAACGAGAGGAGGAAUUCUUAUCUUAUGGAACGACGACGUCGUCGACCAGCAAGAUGUUAAUUUAGGCCGCUACUCCAUCUCCGCUUCUGUGACUGUACAAACCUGCACCUCCCAGUUCCUCCUCACCUCGGUAUAUGGGCCUUCAUGGUGCACGAGAAAACAACAUUCCUACAAAAUCUGCGCUCCUUGAAUCCAGACAACACCACUAGAUGGAUCAUUGCCGACGACUUUAACCUCAUCUACCGAGCGCGGGAUAAGAACAACAAGAACUUAAAUCUACAGCUUAUGUGACGUUUCCAAUCAGUGCUAAGCUACUGUAAGCUGAAGGAGAUCCACCUACAUAAUAGAAAAUUCACGUGGAGCCAUGAGCGCCGGAGGCCAACCCUAUGUCGGGUGCCAGCUAGAUAGGUUCUUCUGCAUCAAAAACUGGGGCCUCAGCUUCGGUGAUCACAUCCUACACGAUCUCUCUUCAAGCCACUCGGAUCACUGCCCGCUACUGCUUGCACAACAAUCUGAGCCGCGUCGACCGUCGCCUUUCAAAUUAAAAAACUUCUAGACGGGUCUACCCUGUUUCUAGGAAGUGGUAGCCUCUGCGUGGAGUAAGCAAACGUAACACAUUGAGCUGUUCCACAGGCUAGGAGACAAGUUGCACACAACGGCCAAGGCGCUAAGAUCAUGGAGUAGGACGAUCAUCUCAGAUGCACGCUUAAAGUUCCACAUGGCUCAGGAUGUUAUUCUACGACUUGAUAUGGUGCAAGACCAUAGAGAACUUUCAGAGGCUGAAUUCCUCCUUCGCUCAAAGCUUAAAAAGCAUCUGUUAGGAUGGGCAGUCAUCAAGCGCGCUGUUGACGCAAAAUUUGGACCUCAGGCUUCUGCAUUAACCAACACGGCUGGGAGAUCUGAUUAACUCCAGUGCAGGCUCCAAAUCAGCUCGUGAGUGGUGCAAGAUGUGCUUAGUCAAUUUGACCUGCAAUUGACAAGGAAAAUGUAAAAUUCAUAAGCCAAUAGGCGGCGAAGCCUUCGGACUCAUAGGUAGGAGUUCUUUGAAUAAACACCACAAAAUAUAGAUUCAUGUGGUGUAAAUAAAUAAAAUAUUAAUGGCAUGUGUCAUCGGCUAUGUCAGCCGAUGGGCUAAGAUAAAGCAUCGUAACGCAAUAGCCAUAAAAGGGAGUCCUUGUUAACCACACGCUUAUCAAAUAAGCUAACAGAUCUAGCCAAUGUCUUGAUAAGUGUAUUGAACUUAGACAAGGUAACACGAAUGAGAUGGCAUUGGCAUUAAUCUACUAACUUAACAGAUUAGAACAUAGCAACAAGGACUAGCCGAUGAUGACUAUACGCAAGCCAGAUACAUUAACAGAUCUUAAUUAAUGUCUUGAUAAGUGUAUUAAAUUUAGACAAGGAGAUAUGAAUGAGAGGGCAUUAACCUUAAUCUGUCAAAACUAAAACACAAUCACCAAGGACCUCUUGCUACCACUUGCAAACCUGAUUAUGGUAACAAAAUCUAAUCAAUGUCAUGACGUGUAAUUGAAUUUAGACAAGGUAAUACGGUGAGAGGGCACUAACUUCAACCCGUUAAUCUUAACAGACAGGCUCACGACAACAAGGCCUCACACGCACCCCUAUCGGCUCAAUGAUGUCAUCACACUCCUGAGAGAAACAGAUAAGACUCAUUCAAAGAAUCGGCUCUCAACAGUAGCACGUUGACGUUAGAGGCCUGACGGUUAGCAAUACGGGGGGCAACAGUUAGCAAUACGAGGGGCAGGGGUAAAGAUCUAUCGGACCUAGCAUAUAUAAAGCAGUAAAAGCAUGCAGAGUCUACUAGCCGAUACGAUAUGAUAAAUGUGAAUGUUUAAACAAGGCAAGGGAGCUGAUGAAUACAACCUAACCAGAUCUAAGCCGUUCAAUAACUGUGAGGAACAUCGAAGACAAGCAGAAUAUUGGACAAAGACUAGAAAGUUCUACUUGCAAUCUAAGAUAACUCAAUAACUAGCCACAUGAACGAAUAUCAAAAAAUAAGACUUAACUUAGAAAAUUCCAAUAGAGAUCGUAAUGACCGAGUGACGGUACUUACAAGUUUGCUGGAGAUCAAAACCGAUGCAGCCCUGCGCGCAAGAAGAAACUUGUCGAAAAGCUACAUUACUCCUACUCCUAAGGGUUUGACAGCGUGGCGCUGAAAGAUUGUAUUGAUUGAUCAAGAGAUGUCUAUUACAAGGCUCACGGGUUUAUAUUUAUACCCUGGAGCAAGCUAAAAUCCUAGUUGAUUACAACACGAGCUAUUAUAAUUAUUGCCUAAAAACUACCUAAGAUAACUUUCUCUAUGCUUUCCCUUAUUUGGUGGAGACACCGUGUCCGCAUCGUGCUCUUUUGGAUUCUAUCAGCUCCGGGGCUCUAAUCCUUCCGUCAUUGACCUUGGUGGAUGCGCCUAACUUGUCCUACCUUCCUCUUCUUUCAUUAGCUCUUGGAACCUUAUCCUCAACAGUUGACCCUAGUCAAAAACCGGUGUCAACACGUGCACGUAAGCGCCAGUGCUCACGUAUAACAAACCUCAAGGAAGGCGAUGCCAACACCAGAUUCUUUCACAUAAAGGCGAAUGGAUGGUGAAGGAAAAACUUCCAACGCCUUCGGAAAGCGCAAGGAUGGGCGGUCUCACAUCAAGACAAGACCAAUGUCGUCGCUGAACACUUUACAGCUACUAUGAACGCGCCACAAGAAAGAACAAGGGAUAUCAACUGGGACACCCUAUAUCAGCCCAGCGCUGACCUCUUGGGUCUAGACGACCCCUUCACUGAGGAAAAAAAAUAGUCCAGGCCAUAUCGCAACUCCCAAGAGACAAAGCACCAGCCCCAACGGAUUCACUGGACACUUCUUCAUCAAAUAUUGGGACACCAUCAAAGGCGACAUGAUUGCGGCCAUCAACUCCUUCUAAAACUUACGCUACAACGACUAAAUCUGCUAAACUUUGCGAACAUCAUACUAAUUCCCAAGAAAGAUGGGGCAGAAUCUAUCGGGGAUUACAGGCCUAUCAGCCUUAUCCACGCCUUCGUGAAGAUCAUAAGAAAAAUACUAGCGUUACGACUGGCACCCUUUCUCCAACAGCUCAUCUCGCCAUGUCAAAGCGCCUUCAUAAAAGGACAUAGCAUCCAUGACAACUUUCUAUAUGUUAGAAACAUUUCGAGGAAAUUUCACAUAACAAAAUCCCUGAUCCUUCUCAUGAAGCUUGACAUUUCCAAGGCUUUCCGCUCCGUAAGAUGGGAUUAUCUGUUGUCCCUGAUGCAGCAUAGAGGCUUCCCACUAAGAUGGCAGAAUUGGAUAACCACGAUGCUCAAGACGUCCUCCUCUAGGGUGCUCCUCAACAGUAUACCACUCGACUCGAUACAGCACAGACGCGCCCUACGCCAAGGCGACCCACUCUCACCGAUGCUAUUCAUCCUCGCCGUCGAACCUCUACAUCAACUGCUUAGCCGUGCGACCGAACUUGGCCUCCUAAGUAAACUUGGAGGACGGGUAGCACAAUUUCGUGUGUCAAUGUACGCGAACGACGUGGCCAUAUUCAUCAAGCUAACUCGAAGCAAUGUGACAAAUUUGUUGAGGCUACUACAGCUCUUUAGGAAAGCAUCAGGCCUCUGCACGAACCUACAAAAAACAAGUGUUGCGCCUAUUAGCCGCACUUCCAUCGACCUUGACAGCGUCCUCGCAGCCAUUCUAGUAGCAAGAACCAGCUUCUCGAUGCGGUUCCUUGGUCUUCCUCUUGCGGUCAGACGGCUACGCAAGAUAGACUUUCAACCAUUGAUGGACAAAGCGGCAGGCAAACUCUCCAUGUGGAAUGGAAGGAACCUCACGCAAGCAAGUAGAGUCAACCUCACCAAGUCGGUAUUAUCAUCUCAGCCAAUAUACUUGCUCACGGUGCUUAAAGCUACAAAAGAAGUCUUGGAAGAUCUUGACAAAAUCCCUAAACGUUUCCUGUGGGCUGGCAACAAAAACAUGAUGGUGAAAAAUGCAAAGUCAACUGGAUCUGCAACUGCCUGCCAAAAGAAAAUGGAGGGUUAGUGGUCCUCAACAUGGAGAAAUUUGUGAGAGCACUACGACUAAGAUGGCUUUGGCAUGAGUGGUGUUACCAGAAAAGGUUUGGGUGGGCACUGAAACCCCCUGCGACAAUACUGACCGACUACUGUUUGCGGCCUGCACCUCCAUCACAGUCGGAAACGGUUGGAAAAUGAGCUUCUAGCGAUCAGGGUGGAUGCAGGGCCGGUGGCCGAGGGACAUCGCCCCUCUCAUGUUUAUCAUUUUCAGAAACAAAAGAAGAAAGCUCGACAACGCCUUCACAAACAACAACUGGAUCAGAGACCUUAACAUCUCCAGAGGCAUCACUGUUGCCCACCUUGGCCAAUUUGCAACACUAUGGAACAUGCUACACUUAGUUGAACUCAAUCCACCUCGGGAUGACCAAAUACGCUGGGUCCUUACCCCCACCGGUGAAUACGCGGCGUCGGCCUACAUAGCCCAAUUCAUCGGCACCACAAAGAACCCGCAGCUUGCUAUUCUAUGGAAGAGUUGGGCACCACCAAAAUGCAAAUUCUUCGCGUGGCUCGUUCUCCAAAACAAAGUUUGGACCUCAGACCGACUAGCAAAAAGGGGAUGGCCACACAACCCGGUAUACCCUCUAUGCAAGCAAAUGGGGGAAUCUGCUCUACAUCUGUUUGUCCAAUGCAGGUACACAAGGAAAAUCUAGAGCUUGGUGGCAACAUACACCCGACACAGUGGCGCCAAUACAACUCCACCUUACAAUGGUGGAACAGCAUGACAACAACGCCAAACACCCCAUGGAGAGAAUGCGUAGCUCGACACUCCUUGUCAUAUAGGAGAUCUGGACAGGAAUCCCCAUCCUUCACACUGAUGGCCAAAAUUAAAGUAGAGGCUGCCGCAUGGGCGAUGGCAGGGGCGAAACAUCUAGUGGCUUCUUUUCCCUGUUCAUGAUUUUUUCUUUCUACCCGUUUAGCCUGUUGUACUCCUCUUCUCUAUCAAUGAAAUAGGCACAAUCUCAUGCCUCCUUGAAAAGCUCAGCACAAGCUGCUGGUAUUGGGCCCUGGUGACGCGCAUGAGACGUCACGCAUAUCCCCGUGCUUCUCAAACCUCAAGGAUUGUUCGCAGCUCGCGCACCCACGAUCCAUCUUCCAUACGGCACUACACAUGCAUCGGUACGGCUGUUCACUAUCAACCCUGCUCUGGCUAAUAAGGAGUUGACUAAUGACUCCUAUUUUUGUUCCAGAAGUGAUCGAGAUGUGCUUGAACGUGUUCUUGUUAGCAUUAGUUGAUGCUCAACCUGUUUCUGCUAUUUGCCUAUUUGAUUCAGUAAUAAGGUAGAGACAUUAAGAUAAACCUGAUGGAUAGAGUAUUACACAGUCAACAAUACGAACAACUUGGAAUAAGUAACCCGGUCAAGCACACAAUUAGCUGGAUCAAGGAGCUGACUUCUAGGGGUGCUGCUCUGUCCUGCGGCCCAACCAAAAUGUUUGAUGUCAGCCACGACACAUGGCUGAAUGGCUCGGCACAAGAUGUAUAAUCUGUCGCUGUUCGCGAGAUAUGAUGAUUUAUAGGUCGUAAACAAAACUGGAGAUCGCUCGUUGCUCUCCCUCGCGCCAAGUCAAUGGGUCCGUACUCUCUCUCAACCGCAUCACCCACCGGAGAACAGGUCUUCCAUCACCGCCAUGUUACCGGCGCCGCUGGCGUGGGAGGUGGGAAAUGGUCCACUUGAUGUGAAACAGGAGUUUUCAAAUCCUACAUGACAAGCCUUUCAAAAAAAGAAAUUCAACAGGACAUGUAUUUUUUAUUUUUUAAUGAAUUAUUCGAUGCUGCGAGUCGGAGUUUCAAUUUGCUUUCACUUUUUGAAGAAAAAGUUUAAUUUUUUCUUUUAAAAUUUCCUUUGGAAAAUUUCAAAAUGUUUAGGCCUUGUUAAGAUUAGAUCCAUGCGACGCCAACAGUGGUGCAACUUGAGUAAACAUUACGUAUGUGGGAAGCCGUUCACAUCAACCUUAGACUGCUCGCGCACCCAGAUUGGUAUGGCAAUCCCUCGAUGGGAUAGUAGAAUUUGGUUUGCUGCAUCAACUUUUCAUUCAUGAUGUCCAUCAGGGUCGUAGAGUGUCAUUUUCUAUCUCAUAAGAAAUGACAUGCGUUGCAAAAAGAUCUCUAGCCUAAUGGUUAAAGUACCUGAGUAGCACCUAUCAGGUCUGGGUUCGACUCCUCGUGGAAGUGAAACGAAUUUGGAAUAAAAAAUAUAAAAAAAUAGGUAUGAGCUUCCCUUGCUGACACCGUGACACGGUUAAAAAAAGAGAAAUGACAUACGUAACUACUAGCACGAUAAUCAUUAUUCAUAGAGAAGACUGAACCGUUCGAUUUUUACAUUGAUGAAGUUAUCCUGAACAUUUAGUAGUCGAUGGGUAAAUUUUACAUACCACUGAAACAAUGACGUCAAAAAAGAAUCUAAUUUUAUGUACCAUUGGAAACCACCGGUACAAUAGCAUCAAAAAAAGAAUCUAUGUUAGAUUCCGCCAUAAAGAUUUUAAUAAAUAUAUACUAAAUUUAGUGGGAAAACAUAACAAGAGUUGGAAUGAGCUUGAGGAAUCUUGUUAUUACGGCAUUGGUGUUCCCACCUCCUCUCGCCUGACAUAGAGAAGGAUAGCAAUUACCGCGUGACAGAAAAAGGGAUAAUCGAGCUAGAUCCUAGGUAACACUACAUUGUUGAAUCCACCCCUUGACGUGGACUAAAAAACCACGCGUGCAAGUGCUCUGGACCCUGGUACACAUAGAUUAGGUCUUGUCUCGAUACUAGUGGAUUGAAGUGGAUUAGAAGGAAUUGGAGAGAAAAUUAGUUCAUUUUAGAUUCAGGAUAUGUUCGAUUCUCUACCCCGGUCUGCCAAGCCAAAUAUUGGCCGUGCCCAACAAUUUUGGCCAGCGUUUGGAUGAGAGAAAGUUAGCCGGCCAGUUAAAAUUUAGCAACAUGUAGUACAAUGCAAUCCAAAGAAGCCAGGGCGAGAAAAUUGCUGGUCAGAGUUUGGCUUGGCUGGCCGCACAGGAGAGUAGACGAGGUGGCAGCAGCUUAGAGGUUGCACGAAGUCCGUGAUUCCUUGGUUAACCAAACUAAAACCGUAAUAUCAUUUAAACUAUAUAUCCAAUUUACAAAUCGUUUGGACCAUAAUAUUUGUGGGGGUUGCCCUAAAAUCCUAAGGAUUCCGAAUGUCAUUCGUAUCAUUCUCUGGAUCAGUAGAUGAUAUUGGCACUUCGUACAAGAAGUACAUACAACUUUUACUGAUUAUUUACAUAAGGUUGAAAAAGAGAAAGCAAACUACUAAUGAUACACAACCUUAAUUAUACAACGGAGUUCUACAUAGCAGUCCCAAGCCUAUAGGCGGCUUGGCUCCUAUGGUAGAUCCUCAAGAUCCUCAUCUUCUUCUCUAGCUACUUCUUCCUCUGAAGAAAGAAAGGAAGGGGAAGCAAGGGUGAGCACAAUACAAUGAGUACUCAGCAAAUCCCACAUUUAUUGUAUUAUUUUAUGCAGGAUUUCAAGGAGUAGCUACUAGUUUGCCUGAAAGGUAGUUUCAUGCAUAGUGUGUAUGGUUGUAACAUCUCGAAAGAAUGAAAUGCAGAUAUUUAUAAGUUGUUGGUCCUAGAGGGGAAUCCUCCUCCCUACCAGUCCCUAAGUUUUAGGAGCAUCAAGAUUCAUCAGGAAUGACUUGAGCCGGCCUUUGCCUUACCUCUAGAUACAUCUCAAGACAAGCCUAGAUCUCGCUCUUUUUAUAAAGCAGGUUACAACUAAUCCAUGGGAGCUUUAACUAUGUAAGCUCUUGACCGUGAGCCUCGGCUAUUCGAAUAGUUUUAUAACUCUGCGCAGAGGUGUACACUUUACUCGCACGUUCAAUCAGCCCAUACCUUAUACGGAGGUAGUACUGACCUACGAGACCCGUACCCACCCGUAUCUAUUACUAGACACACUACUGGAAAACUAAGCAUUCGUCCUGAGGCUCAGUACGGUUGCAUUUUGGCCUGGUACUAAUGUGAGCAUUAGUACCGAGCCUAACGGCAAGUUCCCGAUGAGGCUUCUGUGAACCCCUUUAGUACUGGAUGGAGGCUUCACCCUGCACUAAAGGUUGCAUAUUAGUACCGGUUGAAGCCUCUACCCGGUACUAAUAUGCUUGAGGGCCUUUACUAUCGGGUGAAGCCUCCACCCGGUACUAAUUUGGACUUUACUGGAUUGAAGUCCACCGCACGCGUCCGCUCCUCGCCACCUUAUCCACACGCCUUCCUCUCUCUCCUGAACGGCCCUCCUCUCUCCCUUCUCCCCUCAUGGUGGCCUCAUUUCUCUUCCUCCCAUUCUUCCAAGCGCGCCCCUUCCCUCCCCUCACGGCUGCCCCUCCCCUCUCCCCUCCACAUGCCCCUCACUACGACGCUGGUGAGGAGCGGCGGUGGGGCGAGGUGAGGCGACAACACGGCAGUGGGGGAGUGCAGAAGCGGAGUGGUGGGCGACGGUGCAGGGAGCAGUAGCGGGCGAUGGCGCGUGGAGCAGUGGGAUCUGCAGGCCAGCGCGGUGGGAGAGCGUGGAGGCGCGGAGGGGGCAGUGGGAUCUAAGGGGUGGCAGCAUGGCAAGAUGAGGUGUGUGGCCUCAUCUCUCUCUCUCUCUCUCUCUCUGGGCGAGGGUGGCCAGCAAUGCGAGGGGGCCAGUGGAGUGCGUCGUGAGGGCGGCCGGUCGGGCGAGGGGGCUGGUAGGGGGUUGUGGGAAAGCAAGACGGAGGGGACGAGGGUCGGGACCAAGCUCAGCUGACGAGGAGGAAGGGUAGCUCUCUCUAUGGGUGAGGGCGGCCGACAGUGCGAGGGGGCCAGUGGAGUGCGUCGUGAGGGCAGCCGGUCGGGCGAGGUUGCCGGCAGGGGGUCGCGGGGAAGGCAAGGCAACAGGAAUGAGGGUCGGGAGUAGGCUCGGCCAACGAGGAGGAAGGGAGUCUCUCUCUCUCUCUCUCUCUCUCUCUUCGGUGCGGGGCUUAGGUGCUAUGCGGCUGGGGCUCCAGCACUCAGGCGAACAAUAGCAGGGUGCGGCCGGGGCUCCAGUCGGUGGAUUUCUUUUUUUAAUUUUUUAAUACCCCUUUAGUACCGUUUAUACCGGUACUAAAGGACCCCACUUUAGUACCGAUAUAGCAGUACCAGUUGCACAACCAGUACUAAAGGGGGGAUUUGGGACCGGUACUGAAGGUGGAUUCCCUAGCAGUGACAACAUUCCCUAACUCCAUCCACAGAUACAGCUGGGGUCUAAACAGGGAUCACACUAUGUCCACUCGUGGACUCUAUCCCAGGAAAAGAUGCAUCAUAACUUGACAUACAAUGUCAACAGGUCCUACGGACCUCAACUCGUGACCCGUGCUAACCAGACCUAGGACUAUGUGUUGAAGGUCCUACUCCAGCCUAUCUGUUGCCCACCGUGGCCCCUUGGGAUGGUGUCAAUGUUAUUCGGAGGGAGAUCCUCUAGCCACAGGAGCGAAGCGGGACCCAUCACCACCAGGAAGUAGGCGGCCAUCUGGUCAUAGGUGCCAUUGGCGGCUUUCAUCGUGUUACUGUAUGUCUUGAGCUAGAUGGUGGGGUCGGAGCGACCAUCAUACUUUUCAUCGAUGGCUGGCCAAUCGACACCCCUGAGGCGUGGAGUGAAGGUGGCAAAGCCAUCGAUCGCUGUCAUCGUCAUCGUCGAGGUAGUACUCGACGAGUGGAGCCCUGGGGUGUCUGUUGUUGUCGCGCCUGGGCAGGUUGUAAGCAUCUUCAAGAGCGCCAUACAUGUGAUCGUAGUCGACAUGGAAACGCAUCUCAUUUUCUUGGCGACGGCGGUCCUCGCGUGUGGCGUCGCGGUUGAGUUCAGGAGCGUCGUAGUUGUGGUUGUACUCAGCGUGGCGGUGGAGCUUGUUCUCGUCACGCUCGUUGUGGCAGUUGUUGAGGUCGGGACGGAGGUCAUGGCGGUUGUGGAGGUCGCACAGCUCAUCACAGAGAUCACGUUGCCAACCUGGUUGGCCGCGGUCCUCAUCAUCGCCUCUCCUGCUGUGGUGGCGGUUGUCGUUGUUGUCGUGCUGAUGGUCGUUAUUGACGUUGUUGUUGGCGGGUGGGUCGGCAUUCUGCUCCACCUCUUCUUCAUGGAUUGGCUCCAUCCGACCUCCCACGCGGUCACCUCGGCAGUGGUCAGAUCUGCUAUGCCCAGAUUGGCUCCAAGAGUGCUAGGUGGCUGUGAACCGAGUGUGCGGGUUGUCUGUUGACCUGUUCCUUGAUUUGGGUGUUGGCGACUUGGAGUCGUGCCCAGAAUCGCUAGACUUGGUCUGAGUUUGGGAGAUUUUCCAGGUCGGUGUACACAGCCCCCAGGUUGGCCUGGGGUGUAGUGAAGACAUUGUGGCUAGCCUCCUCGAGGUCGGCUAGUAGAUUGCGAGCAUGUGCAGGGUGCCUGCAUCUGUCCCGGGCUCCGCUCUGGUCGGCGUUGUCGCGAUCGUUGCGUGGCGGUUGGCGUUGGUCGCCUGCUGCCUCCGCGUUGGCAGCAGGUUGUUGCUGGGCAGUUGCUUGCUCUUGUUAGCAUCGUGCCGCGUGAUCCUAGUUUCUAGCAUUGCGACUUCCUUCAUGAGAAGAAGUUUCGCCAUCCCGGGGUGGCUAGUCGGCGGAGAUGAUGAAAGGCUUCACGAUCUGGCAUGGAGGAGUUGCUCUCGUUGUCGCUUCCAAAGGGAUUUAAUGUCAAGACGAUGCAAGGCACUUGGAAUUCACCACAAUCCAGAAACUGAGCGGGUUUGGGUGGGUCUCCAGAUUGGAUCUGAAAAGCCUGGUUGAGUUUGGCGGAGUACAUGGCAGUCGAGUUUCGUAAACCAAAGGGGACUCGGGAUGGACCCUGCGCUGACCUUGUUGAACGUAGCACCACCUCAGACAGAUCUAUGCACUCAGCAAUAGUGAUGCUGAUGCGAUCUAGCCCCGCGAUCAGGUCGGAGGGCAUGGGUGGGCAGGCGACAACAAGUAGAUCUGGAACCCUCUCGGAGAGAGAGAGAAAUUGCCGACCUGCUGCGCAAGCAGCGUAACGAUCCUUGGAUGGAGAACUUGUUUCGUUGGAGCAGAUCUGAUGGAAGCUGAGCUGGCGCUAGAUGCCGAGUCAACGGAAGAUGCGAGUCGAUGAAAGAAGCAGUCGGAUCGGAAUCCGCCGGCAUGGUCCCAAAGAGAAUCUGGAUCGGGUUGGCGAUGUAGUCCUUCAUGCUCUCAGGGAAAACAACGCUGGGACGGGAUGUCAUCGAGGUCGCUAAGGAGAUCUCACAACCAUCCCUACCUAGCGCACCAACUGUUGGAUUUAUAAGCCCGGCAGUGCACCAGGGGGUUACCCAAGUGGUUGAUUUGUAGGUGAGGGUGAUUGUGAAACCAAGAACUUGAAGGUGGUUGCGAGAACACAAGAGACACAGGGGGUUUUAGAUAGGUUCGGGCCUAUGGAGAGUAAUACUCUACGUCCUGUAUGCUGGUGGAUUGUAUUGCUCAAAGGUUCGAUGCCCUCGGGAGGCUCCCUUGGCCGCCUUAUAUAGGCUGACGACCUAGGGUUACAAGUCAGUUUGAAUCUAAUCUACUCGGUAGUUACAUGGAAAGUAAUCUGAGUCGGACAACAAUAAGGAUCCUGCAAUAUCUGAGCAGAUUUGGACUGUCUUGUUUCCUUGACGUGUACUCCAAGUAUCUUCUAUGUCCUUGGCCUGCACGCUCUGGUCGGGCGGGCUCACUUGUCAUAUCCGACCAGUAUCCUAAUCAGUAGGGACCCCAUGGGGUACCCAUAUCCCUCAAUUAGGUUCAGUUGGUGGGGUGUGAAUCAAGGCCUCACAUGUUUAGGCACUCCCGAAGGCUGUACCUUUUUGGUACGUGUGUUGUACUGUCCACUAGAAAGAAUUUCCCAUGAACAAGUUCUUGUAUGACCAGAAUAAGCUUUUAGGAUAGGAUCCUCUGUCGAGGCUGCCUUCUUACUUGUGGGUCCAACCUUAAUUUGUUGCUAGACUCACUUUAGUUAUUUUUAUGCCAUUUUUUAAAAGUACUCACAUUCUUCCUUAGGAUUUUGUGAAGCAUGAUAUGACCUAGUGUAUAUUAGGUUCAUGAUAUGAAGAGGGCUCAAAAUUAUUAGGAGUAGCUGAGAAAAGAAAAUGGAGGAAAUAUCCAAAGCUGAUAAAGUAAACAAGUUAUGAUCUUUGUUUACUUUAUUGGUAAAACAUGGGAUCAAAAGGUGAUGAUGAUUUGUGGGACUUGCCUUCCUUGAAAUCCUGAUCGUCUAGAGCUUCUUCUUCAUAGUCCGGGUUGUCAAAAGCCUUUCCAGUCUCGUCGUUUUCUACAUUAUCAUAAUUAUACAUAAGCAAUCAAGCAAACAAUCAUAGCAAUGUAUCAACAUGGGUUAAAAUAGUAGAAUUUGGUAUUGGAAGGCUUAGAGAAUUUCCUAGAAUUUUCUAGGAUUUUUCUGGAAUUAUUGUGAGUGGUUUUCUAUUUUUGGGUCACAUAUAAUAUAGACUUUUCUAUUUUAGAGAAGAAUGGGAAUUCAUUUUGGGAGCUAUAGGUUUGAGAUUUGGGAAAACAAAGCAUGACUAAGUUUGAAAUGAAUUCUAAUAUUUUUGGUGAAUUUUUAGGAAUUUCUAGCAAUGGUUUGCAAAGUUUAGUGUGUACUAGCUUGGCUGGCCAUAGCAAAAUGGGGGGAGAGAGGGGAGAGGUUGACAGGCAGGCUAGGGUGGUGACGUGGCAAGGGGUCCGUGUGGCGGUACUGUUUCGUGAGCCAUGGGUUCGGGGUGUGGACCAGAGUGGUGCUUGGGUCUAUGGUCUAUGUGGGUCGAGUGCAGGGAUAGAGAGGGGGGUAGCGGCGCCACUGGGUUCAGGUCAUCGAACCGCCGCGGCAAGCAUGGGAGCUUACAAAGCGGGCUAUGCCGGGCAUUGUGGGUCCCAGGUUAGGGAAAGAACUUGCCCCGAAGGUGGAGGAGGGCACGGCAAACCUAUGGGGAUGGGUGUGGUCAUCGGAGAGCAGGCGACUCGCCGGAGUUGUGUGGCGGUGCGGCUAUGAGAGGAAUGAGGCCUAGAGAGGGUUAGGGGUGGUGCUAAGAGCAUAGGAAGGCUCGGAGCUGCUUGGCGCGCACAAUGGAGGGCUUGAGGUGGUCGGGAAUAGGUCGGAGCGACGCCGGCGGCUCGCUGGAGCCAGGCAGCACGGCGGUCGCGCGGAGGGAGAUGGCCGGAGAGGGUGUAGAGCUUAGUUGGGGACUUGGGCAGCAUUUCUGCUGUACCUGAGGGCUUCUAGUGGGUGGUGCAGCAAUCGGGACCGGCCGGCGGUGAGCGGGCAGCGGGGUGAGCGGUGGCAGGACAAGGCCAGCGAGGAGCAGCCGCUUGGGGCACGCUGCAUCGCUAGGAGAGGGAGAGGCUAACACCGCGCGUCAAUCCCAGUUUCGACCCGGCUCGGCUCUAGGGGAUAGAGCACGACGGUAGGUGGGGUGGCGCGGCACGGCGCGGUCCUAUUCCCACAAGGGUGUGAGAGGUGCAGAGGGGAGCGGCGAGGAGGAGAGGGGGAGCACCUGGGGCUAUUUAUAGCCUGGCGGGGCUGUGGUGAGGCGCGAGGAGGUUCGGUCGAGCUUAUCCCGGCUGGGGUAGCCUCCAAUGGCGUGGCGGCGCGUGGCCCUAGCGGUGAAGCGGAUGAGGACGGAGAGGGUGCGGUGGCAGGGGAGAUAGGGCUGAUUGAAUGCGCUUGGUUCAGGCACAUGUAGCGUGAGGUGGGGGGGAAUCCGACGAGGGUGAGGGAGAACGGGAUGAGGUGGCCAGCGGGCGUGCUCCGGUGCACGUGCGGGCGCGUGGUGAUGGCCAAGUUCUCAGGCAGGAGGAGAUGUACUGACGGCUGGAGGUGGCGGUGGUGCAGGCGGUGGCGGUGCACUUGGGAUUGGCGGAGGCGUGGCCUGGAUGGGCGACGUGGCGUCGAGCGGUGGCGGUGGGCGUGGCUAGAGAAGGGGGAAAGGGGGAUGGGUGGGUGGUAGGGGAUGAUGAUGUUAGGGUGAUGUCAUCAUCAGCUGGGCUGGGCCAUGUGGGAGAGGCGAGGCAAGCGAGCUGGGCCAACAGGCCGGUUUGGCUGAUGGGCCUGUGCGUGCGAGCGGGAAAGAGAGCGGAGGCGGGCUGGGUCGGGAAUGAGGUAUGGGAUGGAAGUGAGGUUAUCGACCUGAGCAGAGUUUGGAAGGUUUUCAUUUGUUUGAGUUGAAGCUUGAGUUGAAAUGUGACUUCAAAUUUGAACAGGUUUUGGUAUAUAGGCUUGAAGGAAAUGUUAGGGUGGAAAUUCUUGAAGUAGACUAGGUAAUUAGCUCAAACAUAUGCAUAUGUGUUCAUGAAAGUUUAUAUUUUGAAGCAAAAUUUCAAAUGUAUGGUUCUAAGGUUUGAAUUACUAGAUAAAUUUUAGAAAAAAUUUUGGGGUCCAAUUUUUUUUAAAUGCAUAGGAAAAUUGGGAUGUUACAAUAUUUCUCAUAUUUUUUCCAAUAAAAUAAGAUCCAUAUUAGAUGUAUUUGGGGAAAAAAGUUUGAUGACAUGCGGACCCUACAUGUCAUGCUCUCAGUUUUAUAUCCAUAUUAGAUUUUAGCAUGGUUGUAACCCAAAUUUCAUCAUCAUGGCCAAAAUUUGGUUGGGCCCUAAUUUGACCAUAGCCAAAAAUUAGCUUCACAUACCAGGGCUACAAACCAAACAUGCCUUCAAUCCCCUACAUUCCUUUCCAAUACUCUUCUAUCAAAUUUCGUCAAAAUUUUUUUUUUCUAUCAAACGGUUCAUAAACUCCAAUAUUUGUUUAGAACGAAAAAUAAACUUCAAUUUAGAGUUGAUGCAGCACCCUGCUACAUGGAGUCUGUUGGAGGAUGACAUUGACGCGCCAGCUAGUGGGGUAGGUGCGGGAAGCUUUAGGGGUAGGGUUGGUGUGGUGGUCAAAACUGAUUGAACACGAACCUGGUUAUUGUAGUACCUUCAGAUAUGCAUCCGAAAAUUGAAUCUACUCCUAAACAGUUGCGAGACAAAUGUCGUGACAACAUCGAAUACGAAACAAACAAUUAAGUGGACGAUACGGUAUACCGAUAUACACUCAUCAAGUGUAAUGAUUUGAGUGUGUUUAUGCAACAUAAUGAGAGAAACAGAAUCAUAUUUGUCUCCAGAAGACCCAAAAAAAGAGAGAACAGGAGUGAGGAGUAGAGGACCCGAAAUCCGUGCUCGUUUCACGGGAACGUACUAGGAGUAUUGGCUGCUCCGUAUUGCAUUAUUUUGGACGAUCAACCAUCCCAACGGGGUAGUUGGUGAGGACGUGACACGUGAGAUUGGUUGAGCCCUCCAGGGAGGGUAGGCCGGGCAGCCUUGACCGCGGAGAGCCAGCAGCGACGUGGAGGCACCGGGAGUCAGAGACGAGACCGGUGCCGGAUGCAUGGAAUGGAACGGACGCCGCUGGGAACGGAAAAACAAAAGGAGGGGCAGGGGCGCGGGUGGGGUAGGCAGGCAGCCGCAAGCCCGUAACGGCCGCGCAGCGCAGGCCCAGCACGCGCGACGGCGACGGGUGUAGGUGGAGCGCGACGCGACUUUUUUCCGCUGCGGUGCGGGGCUCCUUCCUACUCGGCUGCUGCUGCUGGAGUCGUCGUACGGCGCAGGUCGCUCGGGCCAACCAGCGCGGUGCGCGAACGUGGAGGCGCCCGCGUCCUGUACGUGGACGCCCGCUGGCGUACCAUGGUCCAUGUCCCUCCCUACGUGUCGCGGUCGCUGCCCCAGCUCGAUCCGUCAGAUGGCAGACUGUUGCAUCGGCUACGGAUUGCGGAUCUUGCACCUACAAGCCACGCCGUCGCGGGUUCACACACCACACAGGUCGCCAUGUCCCGGAGCGGUACAAGUUUGACCUCAUGUUACUCAUGCCAACGGGAUAUAAAUCCGUGUCAACUUCUCGCGUGGCCGUAAUCCAACUACUGCCACUUUGGAACCUUUGACCACCGUUUGGUGCAUGUGCAGUGGAUGCCGCCACCAUCGCAGGGCCGAUCCGUAAAUGAUAUGUUUAACUACGUAUUCCACUUUUGACUAGCGUACACCCCCGUGGAAUUCUAGAGUUCCGCUUACGAACCUAUUCUGAAAUCAGCAACAGAUUGAUCUGAAAGAUUUUCAAUAAUCAUUCAUACACUUGUGUUUUGUAUAUGUCGGAUCAGUGUCUUAAUCAAAAAGGAACUUUUAAGUUGGCCACAUCUAUUAACCUGCUACGGUUGACAGAUUAACAACAUUGUCAAAAGUCUCAUCCUGCUCUCCCCGCCCCUCAUUCAACUUUGGAUCAUGAAUGGAUGUUUCUUUUCAAUUUGGAUCUCUUCUGUUCAGCAUGCAAUUUUAACUUCUAUAUUGCAAUACAUACUCCUCCUUCAGUUUCACGUGGCCUUCAGGAUUGCGGCAGCCGGGAGUGACCUCCUUCACUUCACCUACUGAAAACUCUCAACCAACAUCCCUCUGCUGCCUGCAAUAACGUCCCCUGCUGUGCCGAAAUAAAAAAACAUGGCCCCACACUUUCGCAGCUUUGGUGGGCCCGUCUCCUCCCACAGCACCAAAACGUACCAACCCCCGCAGUACCAAACACAAACAAGCUCGUGUCCUCAAAUCGGACCCGUCUUCGCUCCCUCCCUGCAGAAACGCUAUAAAUCCCCGUCAUCCCCCUCACGCCGUUCCCAUCACCUCCUCUCCACGGGCAAGGCAAGCGAGGCGACCAAACAAAACAAACACAAGCCACACACCCCACCUACCCCCCGCCGGGGAGACGAGAGCCAGCCAGCCAUGGACCUCGCCCUCCUCGAGAAGGCCCUUCUGGGCCUGUUCGCGGCGGCGGUGCUGGCCAUCACCGUGGCGAAGCUGACGGGCAAGCGCCUCCGCCUGCCCCCCGGCCCGCCCGGCGCCCCCGUGGUGGGCAACUGGCUCCAGGUCGGCGACGACCUCAACCACCGCAACCUGAUGACCCUCGCGAAGCGCUUCGGCGACAUCUUCCUCCUCCGCAUGGGCGUCCGCAACCUGGUGGUCGUGUCCACCCCGGAGCUCGCCAAGGAGGUCCUCCACACCCAGGGCGUCGAGUUCGGCUCCCGCACCCGCAACGUCGUCUUCGACAUCUUCACCGGCAAGGGCCAGGACAUGGUCUUCACCGUCUACGGCGACCACUGGCGCAAGAUGCGCCGCAUCAUGACCGUCCCCUUCUUCACCAACAAGGUCGUCGCGCAGAACCGCGCCGGCUGGGAGGAGGAGGCCCGCCUGGUCGUGGAGGACGUCAAGAAGAACCCCAAGGCCGCCACCGAGGGUGUGGUGAUCCGCCGCCGCCUGCAGCUCAUGAUGUACAACGACAUGUUCCGCAUCAUGUUCGAUCGCCGCUUCGACAGCGAGGACGACGAGCUCUUCAACAAGCUCAAGGCCCUCAACGCCGAGCGCAGCCGCCUCUCGCAGAGCUUCGAGUACAACUACGGCGACUUCAUCCCUGUCCUCCGCCCCUUCCUCCGCGGGUACCUCAACCGCUGCCACGACCUCAAGACCCGCCGCAUGAAGGUCUUCGAGGACAACUUCGUCCAGGAGCGCAAGUAAGUCCCCGCCAUUGCUGCUGCUUCUCUGCUACUAGUUUAAGUAAUUAAUCCUCGAAUUAAUUGAUUAGUCUGCCAUUCGAUUCUCUAUGCGUAAUCAUUCAUUCCUGAAUGCGCUGCAUUUGGCCAUUUGCUUCGUCGGUGCCUCGGCGGGUGAGGUGAGCUGGACGCAUGGAAGAGAGGGAGUUUGGUAGGAUCCGUGACCGCACAUGCUGCAUGUCAGGCACCUACUGUUCCUGUAUUGCUUUAGCAAAAAGCGGAAAAAUGGCGAAUGCGAUUCAGGAGCCACCAUCGGCUCCGAAAUCAAUGUCACCUGUCGAUCAACAAGGACGAAUAAACAGCCAACUCGAUUUUCUCUAUCCUACCACAGGCCGUUCGGCAAGAUUUGACUUGUGCGGCGUCGGCAGCCAAAUCCAAAUUUCCAACGGAAGCGGCCAAAGUAGGUGACCAGAUCAUAUCAUGUCAUUGUUGCUUGCGCUGGUCUUCGGCCUGUAGCAUAGGAUCUGGAUCCAGCUCAUCUCUUCAGGAUCACCAACCCGUCACCAUCGAGUGAAGAAAAAAUUGUACUUCCAGGAGAUGGAGAUAACAGAAGGGGGCGCGGUAGGUUUGGAGGAUAGAAAACUGCAUGAUGAGGAGUAGGUAGGUGAACCGCACCAGUCACUCACCUCUUGACUGAUACGAUUGCUUACGGAGACGGGGCUUCGCUAGAUUUGGAUUGCUUUGCUUUUGCUUUGCGACCAAGCACCAAAGCUUAGGAUCCGGGCAAGGUUCUGGUUAGCCACACACACACCGAAAGCAACAUGAAUAAAGUGAUGGAAAAUGAGGCGGCUUCACGCUCAUAGGGUGUUGGUGGAACAGGAAGAAAAAGUCUUUUGGCUUGUAUCUCCAUCAACAAGUGGUUACAUAGAUCAUUUGGCUUGCACUUUGCCUCAUGCCAAUAAUGAACUAUAGUUUAUUUGUUAAUCACCAGAUUGGGUUGGGUCGAUGAGUCCAUCAUGCCCACCCACGAUCGAACGUGCAGCUUGUACUUUUUUUUUUUUUGCCAAAUGUUAUGUAGUGUUAUGGAAUUCCUGCUCGGUCGGAAGGAAGCUUCUGAUCCACUUCAUUCGGUUGAGAGAAACCUUACUAACAUGGAUGCGUGCGCAGGAAUGUGAUGGCCCAGACUGGCGAGAUCCGGUGCGCCAUGGACCACAUCCUUGAGGCCGAGAGGAAGGGCGAGAUCAACCACGACAACGUCCUCUACAUCGUCGAGAACAUCAACGUCGCAGGUAAUUUUCAACUACUCUUCUUAUUUGCUAUCCCGUCCUCGUAGUAGAAAUUCAGAAUCUCUGCUCCAUUCAUCCUAGCUACCACAAUCCACAACAGAGUUUUCAGAGUACGCUCUGCCCUUGUUGGAAAGAAACAACGGAGAGGUUUCUGAAACAGAUUCUGAAGAGGAAGCAGAGUAUGCUCUGCCUUUGUUGGAAUGAAACAGUUUUUUUUUUCCAGAACAUAUCACAUGGCAACGUGCCCAUUUGCAUCAGAUACAUGUAGGGUCCAAGAAGAAAACACUAAAGUAGGUUGCCUAUUGGCCGUCAUGAUGCUGUAGUCCACUGUUCCGUUUAAAAAAUACUGGUAUGGACGAUAAGGAACGUCUUAAUCAAGUCACAGUCACCCCACUUUCAUCAUUCUUAAUUAACCAGCGAAUUAGCCGGCAGAAUGCGGUGUCAGGCUUCAUUUGACAUCCAGUACGUGCUAGGGGUAUAAUGAAAUGGUCGUUGGAACCGCCGCCACAUGAUCACGCCUCAAUUUGUGUUUCCUAGCUCUUGUUUACAAGUCAAACUGCCACCAACAGUCGGUGCGAUAAAACUAUUACUAUGUCCUUGUCAUUUGUUGGGAUUUGACAAAAUCACGAGGUGCACUUUUUUAUCAUGAUAAUAUGAUCUCGUGACAUCGUCAGCCUAGGGAAUGAGCAGAAAGUUUGUUUGUUCACAAUUUGAAAUGCGCUAGGACUAGGAGCAAGUAGUAUACUGAUUACUAAAUUAUGUUGGUGUUGCUUUGCACAUUUGCAGCCAUCGAGACUACCUUGUGGUCGAUCGAGUGGGGCAUCGCCGAGCUGGUGAACCACCCGGAGAUCCAGUCCAAGCUCCGGGAGGAGCUGACCUCCGUGCUGGGCGCCGGCGUGGCGGUGACGGAGCCGGACCUGGAGCGCCUGCCCUACCUGCAGGCCGUGGUGAAGGAGACCCUCCGGCUGCGCAUGGCCAUCCCGCUGCUGGUCCCGCACAUGAACCUCAACGACGGCAAGCUCCAUGGCUACGACAUCCCAGCCGAAUCCAAGAUCCUCGUCAACGCGUGGUUCCUCGCCAACGACCCCAAGCGGUGGGUGAAGCCCGAGGAGUUCCGCCCGGAACGGUUCCUGGAGGAGGAGAAGGCCGUUGAGGCCCAUGGCAACGACUUCCGGUUCGUGCCCUUCGGCGUCGGCCGCCGGAGCUGCCCGGGGAUUAUCCUUGCGCUGCCCAUCAUCGGCAUCACGCUCGGAAGGCUGGUGCAGAACUUCCAGCUGCUGCCGCCGCCGGGGCAGGCCAAGGUCGACACCACCGAGAAGCCGGGGCAGUUCAGCAACCAGAUCGCCAAGCACGCCACCAUCGUCUGCAAGCCGCUCGAGGCCUAGAGCUUCGGAGAAUGCGAGUUCUUCCAGAGAGAGAGGCCAUCGAUCAAGCACUAUGUAUUUUUGUUUUUGUUUUUUCUUUUGUGUUUUUGUACUAAGAGGAGUUUUGUGUUGCCUGCUGAGUGAUGGGGGCAUGUAUGUGGCUGAGGUACGUGAGGUGUUGUAGAUUCACUUGGUUAUGUUCUUGCAAACUUAUCCAUAAUUUAUAGUGCUGUAAACUUGAAUUUAGAUCCCCCCUCUCUGGUGAACAUAGAAGAAAUUUCAUUCAAGGGCCAUUUUUAUUUCGAAAUUGCCAUAGUUGGUCCGGUGUAGGAAUUGAGGUCAAAUCAAAGAAAUCAGGCAUCGAUACAGAGCAGAAAAUACAAAUUUUACAAUACAUACUUGUAUAAAGCCGGCAGCAAUCCUUCGGGUACCAAAAGUGUGUUGACGCAAAAAUCGAGCGGUGACCUUCACGUACUAACACACGAAAGGUCUGGGAGACUCUGGUGCAGGUCCUGUAGAUCGACGCGCGUGGUGUGCGCGGGCGUGCCAAUCAGUUUGAUCAUUCAACUAGCAACUGACAAGGUGAAAAUAAUCCUUUGAAAUCCAAGGCAACUGGCCAAUCAGGCCAACGUAAUCCUGGCACUAGUGGUAAUAAUGAUGCAACAAAAUAGAGCAUGGUGAAUAAAUGUAUCGGCUAUGAAGCCGAUUCUAGUAUCUUGAUGAGCGUGGGUGUCUCAUCGACUAUCCAAGCCGAUUCACCAUAAAAUAGCAAAAAUCAUCGGCAAGAAAGCCGAUAGGAAAUAGAGCGUCGUCGAGCUCUCGCUCCACCAUAGCCAGAGCCACAAACCAAUGAGAUUCAAACUAACAUCGCUACCAAUAUCUCUAGGUGAAACCACAGCGAUGCGCCCGGUAGUUGCAGCCUAGAAACACUUAGCAGGACAUCAAUUUAAACCCCUCCAGCUGAUGAAUCCAAUCACAAUGGAACUCAAUUCCAACAGCACUAGAGGAAUAAUUAAGAUUAAGAUGCAACAGGCUAUUAAGUGAGACGAUACGAUCUAGAGCUAAUUAAAGCAAACUAGACGGUAAGACGAUAGAACAGAUAAAUAUCAGCCGAUGUAAGGUUAAUCAAGGCAGGAUAACUGGUGAAUACCGUAGAUCGAGAUAAAAGCGAUGCGCCGUAAGUCAAAGAUCUAGGAUACUCGAUAACUGGUAGAUGAAACUAGACGAAACCACAGCGAUACGCUCGGUAGUUAAAGUCUAGUACACCUGAUGACGGGAACUUGCAGCUUACUGGAGAUCGAGGUCGAUGUAGCCCAGCUUGCUAGAAGGAACGCGUCGAGAAGCCACAUUACUCCUACUUCUAGGGCAAUAGCGUGAAGCCGAAAGGUAGAUGCGUAAAGGUAAAUAUGUUGUAUUGAUCGUGUCAUGAUUUACAAUGGCCACGACCCUUUAUAUUUAUAGGACGGAUGGCCUUUGACGUUACAUAGCAAGACUCUAACCACGUACAAGGCAAGUCACGUACACAAUCUUUUCUAAUUAAAACUCUAUCUCUAACUAAUCCAACUCUAUCUCUAAUCAAGUUUAUGCCUAACCAACUCUAUCUCUAGAAUAUUUUAUUCUAUAAGACAACCUCUCGUACGUGCGCUUCCCUUGGAUGCCAAACAAAUUGGAACUCUUGUCGUGUAUAUGUGUGCGUUGAUUUUCUUCUUUUGAUCUUCUAGCUUCCUUGCUUUUUCAUGCACACGUUCCUGAUUUCUAUGGCCAGCUCGCAAAUAGCCUUAUUUAGAAGAUUUCGUCAUUUUUUACAUCAUCGGCCGAUUUCUUCCUUUCAGAGCAUAUUUUCAAAAUUCGGUGUCAACAAAUCCAUAACUCACGCCAAUUGAUAGCGGGCAGAGUUAACAUUCAAGAUAAGUUGAUAAGUAGACCAAAUCACAGCCCAAAUUGGGGGCCAACUACUGAAACCGAACUUGGCUUAUGAAUUCGGACGGCACAAAUAGCACAUCAAUUGGAUCCAAAAUAGAACACCACAACGCCUAAGCUCAGCACCGUCAAAUAAGUACACACACAUCAUACUCAUGGUGAUUUGAGAUUCAGAAGAAGACGAACCAUUUGACUUUUGAUACAUGGUUUAGGAUGGAAGACAAUAUUGAGGCUUUCACGGACUUGUACGGUUCAGGCUUUAGAUGCGACCUAGCUGAUUUAUUUAUUUGUUCACCUCACGGUAUUCCCAUACAUACAUAUAGCCAAGGGAAAAAUCACAAAGUGGGAUGGAAGCCUUCAACAUCUUUAUUAUAAAACUUGUUACCAUUUACUUGUGCAAGUACAACACGCACUGCAUCUAUCCGACUUUUGGCACCUUGGUGACCCCAUCACCGCCGGAGGGCAGAGCGCCAACCACCACAACCACACGGUUACAGCACAAGUCGCCGUCGCCGGCUGCCUCAAGCACACCCUUCUUGUCGAGAACAUGCCCAAGCACAUCCGAGACCAAGAACACGACGUCCGUCACCUGCGGGUUCUCGCGCUUUAUGACCAAGUACGCCGUGUCCUGGUCCUUCCCGACGAGCUCCGGCCAGCUUUGCUCUGCAACAGCGUUCAAUGGUUAGGAUAACCAGAUCGGCAACUCUUUACUCUUCCAUCUAAUAAACCAGCCAUUAGAACACAGAUCUCUUGUACAAACGGAGUUUGGGGAACCAAAUCGUCUGAAGACAAUGAGAUAGAAUGAAUACUCACUUCCUUGGCAAGGCGGAGGCGUGCACGGAGUUGCGGUGCUCGGCUUACAGACAACUGUCAGGAGAAGGAAGACAAUCGGCAACGGUAGGAGGAUGGAAGCCGAUGAAGUUUUCGACAUUUUCGCGGUACUGCUUUCUCUCUUCUUCUGGUGGUUUCUACAAGGCUUAGGAUGUGUCCGAUGGAGUAAUAUAAAGUAUAAUCAAAGCAUAUGAAUCUGGUUGGUACAUGCCUCCAUGGUACUCUUGCAGUUACGGGUAAAACAUGCCUUGUGUCACACGUGCCGCUGGUCCAUGGUCAUCCAUAAUUUGUAACGUUCACGUUGACUAGCUCCUAAUUAUUAGUGUGGUGGCAUGCUAUUUCGUGCAGAAUCGUUAUAGAAAAAAUGGAUGAGAAUAAAAUAGGCUAGUACAGUGGAUUUGGUAAGUUAGCUAGGUUCUUGUUAUUACUAAUUAUAGACUUAUUUUAAAGCCUUCGCAUUAGUACUCACACACUAGUAGAGAACUCACCUUCCAUGCGCCCUAUUUUGUCCCGGUUUAAAUUUGGCUCGGGACAAAAGGUUCACCAACCGGGACUAAACCUCAAUCACUGGUGGAGGGGCUCACCAACCGGGAUGUUUUAUCCCGGUUGCAAAGGCUAGUGGAAAAAAAAGACUUUGAGAGGCCUUUUAUCCCGGUUUGAAACACCAACCGGGAUCGAGAGCCUUUUCUCCCGGUUUGUAAUACCAACCGGGAUAAAGGGGGUCUUUUAUCCCGGUUGGUGUUUCAAACCGGGAUAAAAGGGUCCCCAACGGGGUGGCUGAAAGAGGACUAAAUCCCUCGAACCCUUUUAUCCCGGUUUUUAAUACCAACCGGGAUAAAAUGGGGUCUUUUAUCCCGGUUGGUGUUUCCAACCUGGAUAAAAGGGUCCCCAUAAGUUAAUACAGAAGGAUUGCAUCCCUAUAUAGGUAGAUGUGAUGUGUAGGUGGGACGGCAAAGAAGCUACGUGCGAGGCUGGAAGUUGUGGGUUCGAAUCCCACGCAGCGCGCACGCGCAUAUUUCGCGUGAAAAAUCGCGUGACUUGUGACUGAUAAAAGGGGGUCUUUAGUCUCGGUUGAGUGACCCGGGACAAAAGACCCCUUUUGCCCCGGUUGAUUUAUCCCGGAUGGAUUUUCGAGAGAUUUGCAUCCGGUUGUGUUAGAAAAAGAAAAGAAAAGAUGACCUCUAGAUAUUAUGAAAAACACAUAAAGAUGCAUACACCAACUCACUAGACUCUAAAUCUCUAAUUAUCAUGGACAACAAUUGCCAUUAGAUCCAUUCUGUUUCUAAAUAUUCAUCUAAACUACCUACCUAUACUAACAUUACAUAUAGAUUACGAACAUUUAUCAUUAUUAGAAUAACCUGCACGCCGAAUCUUCUGCACCACGCAUGGAUCUGGAGUCACAUCGCUCGCUCAGCACCGGCAGUCUCCAAACAACAUCUGCUACAGGACAAAGCCAGCGGCAGCCGUUCUCGUGGCUCCACGGGCUUCCGAUGGCCCUGGUGAAUACUUUUGGCAUUUGCUUAUUGACAAUAUGAAAUGUGUAAUUACUGUAGUGUUUUUCACUCCUUGACUUCUUGUGCAUAAUUAAAUGCUUUGAAAUAAAGUGGUCAUAUCAUAUUAUUUAAGAGGUAUGGAUAGUCAUUUCACGUUGAAUUUUUUGUAGCUAAUAUUUCCUUAGUUCUUACGGUGGGGUAGGGGCACAUAUAGUGAAAAUGGGGAGUCAUAACAUUGGACGAUUAGGGUAAUAUGCUAAGUACUAAUAAUUGCGUUGCAAAAAGUCACUACCAAUUAGAUAGUGGUAGUGAUUCCAUGUAUUUUCAAGCCACAUAUAUAUAGUUGACGCUUUGAAAAUGUAUACCGUCUCUAAAAACUGUGACUAGCACUGACAUAGUACUCGAUAGAACAUAGCAAAGCUAUGCUUUUAUAAAUUCAUGAGGCAAAUCUAAAAUACCAUUUUCGAUUAUCUAAACUCAAAAGACAAAAUUUAACGUGUAACUGAAGUUCAGUGGAAUGGUUGUCUGUAUACAAUCUCAAAUUUCACUUGUUCGAGAGUGCAGUUCAAAAUUCCCGCUGUUGGCAUUAUAGGUGACCAGUAGUGAGAAUUGGUCGUCAACGAUUAGAUUUUGUUUAUGGAUUGCAUUUGGACUGUCCUUGUGUCCGUCAUAUAUCCAGAGUUUGUUGAACAACAUAUAUAAGAACAGAGAGCCAUAAGAACAUAAGUACAAUGCAGUGGGUCAUAACUUCAAAUAGAUCCAGUAGUUCGUUCAUACGCAACUUAAUUCAGAGAAUUCUGUACACCUCUGCAGUAGCAGUUAUCACUGCAUAGAAUAUAGUUCCUGUAAAAUAGGCUCUCCCAAUAACAAAUAUUCUACACUAAAAGGGAUAAUUAUUAAACAAAUAUAAAGUAAGUGUAUAAAAACGUGACACAAAUAUUCUGUCCGGAUUUACAAACAACAAGAUACACAAUACAGGUCUGUCUACCUCCUACUCGAGUGUUUUGGGAGGACCUGGCGCUCGAAUGCCAGAUUCCCCCAAAACACUCGAUUCUUUCUGUUAUGAGGAAUCGAGUGUUUUGGGACGUCCCAACACUCGAUUUUCAUACCCUUGAAUUUUGAUCCAUUGGUUAUAACUAAAAGCUGCUUUAAUGAAUAAUCUGAGCUUUAAGAAGCUUUUUCAUAUAUACAAAACAACGUGGUCAAAAGAAAGUAAAAGAUUCAGUGGUAACACAAUAGAAUUUUGUACAGAUUUAUAUUAGACAUAAUAUUAAAUGGAUCAGGUCCUUAGCUGAGCAAAAGAAGCACAUACGCAUUCUUUUUUAAAUAACAUAAAAAGUCUUCAGCUAACUAUGUAGGAAGCAAUAGUACUACAGAAGCAAUAGUACCAGAGAAGAGUCUAAAAAUCUAGAAGCGGAAAUCUAAUUUAGAGACAGCUGAAUCAGGAAGAGGUCUGCGUCUAAAAAUCAAUACCUACAUGAAGUGAAUGUGUUGAACAACUAAGUCAAUUAAGAGGCGAAGAUUCCACUAGAUUAUAAUCAUUAACCUAAAUUAUCACACCCCACAAUGAAACAACAAAUACAUUCAAAUGCCCAACUAUACAUCCGCAAAAGCUUGAAUCAUAAGAGAAGCGCCGCCUAUCGAACUGGAACCUAGACACUAAAAUGAACAGUAAGAACAGGGGGGGCGAAAUUCCUCACUCGGGGUUCGAAUUGUCAGCAAAAAGAUGGUUCAAAUCAAUACCUCCAGCUAAAAAAGAGGCAUGGUUCGCAAAAAUCCAAAAUAGUCUCCAUAACAAGCCGGGCCCAUAUGUCAGGGAAAAAAAACAAACCAACACCAAGUAUAUCGGAGGGCAGAAGACGGAACAGAUGGCAGAUUGAACGGCAAAAACAAAUCGAACGCUGAGAAGCCUCAAAACGCUCAAGUGCCAUAUAGAUUGUUCGCUAAAACAAGGAAAAUAACAUGCUGGCUAUACUUGUAAGAGGCUGUCUAGUCAAUACUUGCAAGAAAAGGGUAUUUUACAUACCCUUGUCAGUACCAUGGAAACAACGACAUGCAUUCAAAAUAAAACUACACCUCAACUGCAAAAAAAAGUAUAUAAUUAUAUUCUAAGCAAUAAGAAAAUAAAGUAUUACGCCAAAAUAAAUAUUAUGAGUUGUACUAUGAGGACUAAUUUACAUACUAGACACAUAUAACUUACGCCCAAUUAGGUAUUGUACUAAUAGUAAUCUCAUCAAGUACUGUCAUGAAGUUAGAAUAUACAAAAAAGGAUAUACCACCAAAGCUCCCUCACAUAACCAGGUAUAGACAUAUCAGUGAAUCAAGUACGAAUUAAUCAAUUGUUCAGAUUGUUUGUAAGGACACCGGAUCAAACAGAUUCAUGUGAGAGGUUCCACUAUACCAGCACUAUAAAUAGGCAAACAUAAUAUGUGAACGAUAAAAAGAUAAUGCAUAUUUAAAAUCAUAUUGGAACUUAUACUGCACUAGGGUGAAAUAAUCUAGUUAUUCAAUACAACUGGGAAUCAUCUAGGCAAACACAAUAUGUGCAGGAUAAAAAGAAAAUAAAUAUUUGAAUUUAGAUUGGAACUUGUCCUGCACUGGAGUGAAAUAUAACUAAUAAUUCAAUACAAUUUGAGAAUCAUCUAAAUUAACAGCACCAAUAUUUGAACAAACUACAUAGAAAGGGAUCUGAUAAUGGGUAGUUGAUACAUACGGACUUAGAAGGGAAUAUAAAUAAUGACAUAUGCCAUGUGAAGCAGAAUAACUAGUCAGUUGAAUGGGGUCACCAUCAAAUUACCCAACCCAACACUACUAACAGGAUUACGAGUGCCUAAAAGUCCAGAUAUAAACUAGGGGAGGACCUAUUAAUUGCCAAAACAUAAUAGCAAAUAAGAAAUCGACUCUAGUACAUAAAAUUAGUGAAACUCUAAGCACUAUAGCCUGGAAUUUUCGUUCACUAGAACAACCCCUCACUCAACAAUAGCAAAACAACCUACGAAUCAUUACUAAUCUAAUUAGCACAAAUCAGAACAGCGAAAAUCGUGUGUAACACAACGAAUCCUGGAUGAAGCAUCACAGACGAACACACAAAUCGAUUCGAACUGCAGGGAAUUGCAAUCAUCGAUUGAAACUAAAAAUUAGUCAGUAAAAUAACGAUUCAACAAUAACACCUACCACCUAUAAAAUCUAGUCAAAUAACAGAAGUUAUACAUGAGGGAAUGAACCGAAUCUAACAUAUCAAACCUUAAAUGAAGCAAAUGAGAUGAGCAAAUGAAAUAUUUUGAGAUGAGGGGAUCGAAAUCAGUGACCAAAACAUCCACCAAUCGAUGCGCCAACACUUCACAAACCCUAACCACAGCUACUGGAAUCGAAUCGCAGGAAAAAGUCGGGGGAAACUCGAAAUCGAGAGGAAUCUCCAAACCCUAGAAACAUUCACCUGGAGGAGAGCUCGAGGACUCCGACGAAAAGACGUGGGAACUGUUCGGGAAAAGCAGGGGACGGUUCGGGGAGAAGCAGUCGGCCUGGAUAAGCCACCUCCAAAUUCCAACUUUGAAAAUAUGCAAAAAGAAAAUUUCCCAUCACAUCAAAUUUACGGUACAUGCAUGGAGUACUAAAUGUAGACGAAAUUAAAAACUAAUUGCUCAGUUUUGUUGUACUUUGCGAGACGAAUCUUUUGAGCCUAAUUAGUCAAUAUUUGGACAAUAAUUCACAAAUACAAAC